rnacentral:rRNA from 1 species
GUACCGUGAGGGAAAGGCGAAAAGAACCCCGGCGAGGGGAGUGAAAAAGAACCUGAAACCGUGUACGUACAAGCAGUGGGAGCCCCACCACUAAGCCAGUGGUGAACUCCACAUACGCAUCCUUUGCUGAAGGCAAUGGUUAACGGAGCGAAAGCGACGUUCAACCGCAAAACAAGCAGAGGGGGCUUAGUGGUGGGGUGACUGCGUACCUUUUGUAUAAUGGGUCAGCGACUUAUAUUCUGUAGCAAGGUUAACCGUAUAGGGGAGCCGGAGGGAAACCGAGUCUUAAUUGGGCGUUAAGUUGCAGGGUAUAGACCCGAAACCCGGUGAUCUAGCCAUGGGCAGGUUGAAGGUUGGGUAACACUAACUGGAGGACCGAACCGACUAAUGUUGAAAAAUUAGCGGAUGACCUGUGGCUGGGGGUGAAAGGCCAAUCAAACCGGGAGAUAGCUGGUUCUCCCCGAAAGCUAUUUAGGUAGCGCCUCGUGAAUUCAUCUCCGGGGGUAGAGCACUGUUUCGGCUAGGGGGCCAUCCCGGCUUACCAACCCGAUGCAAACUGCGAAUACCGGAGAAUGUUAUCACGGGAGACACACGGCGGGUGCUAACGUCCGUCGUGAAGAGGGAAACAACCCAGACCGCCAGCUAAGGUCCCAAAGUCAUGGUUAAGUGGGAAACGAUGUGGGAAGGCCCAGACAGCCAGGAUGUUGGCUUAGAAGCAGCCAUCAUUUAAAGAAAGCGUAAUAGCUCACUGGUCGAGUCGGCCUGCGC